UACAGAGGUCCCGAGCGUUGUUCGGAUUCAUUGGGCGUAAAGGGUGCGUAGGCGGCGGGGAAAGUCUGAUGUGAAAUCCCGGGGCUCAACCCUGGAACUGCAUUGGAUACUUCCUUGCUAGAGUACUGGAGAGGAAACUGGAAUUUACGGUGUAGCAGUGAAAUGCGUAGAGAUCGUAAGGAAGACCAGUGGCGAAGGCGAGUUUCUGGACAGUUACUGACGCUGAGGCACGAAGGCCAGGGGAGCAAACGGG
rnacentral:rRNA from 1 species